CCCCUCUCAGGAUUGUAGCUGGAGAGUUUCAAGUACUCUACCAGUCUCUGCUAUGGGAGGGAGAGUCAAGCAAAGGCCUACCAAUUCCAUUCCUAGCUUGGACAGUGGCUUGCAAGUGGAAGGCUAUCUGCUACAAGU